rnacentral:rRNA from 1 species
GUCUAAGGCCAUACCUCCUUGAACUUGCCUGAUCUCCUUUGAUCUGGGAAGGUAAGCAGGGUUGGGCCUGGUUAGUACUAGGAUCGGAGACCACAUGGGAAUACAGGUUGCUGUAGGCU